rnacentral:tRNA from 2 species
GGGGUAGUGGCGGAAUAGAGACGCGGUGGCGGGUGCGCCAGUGAAACCGACUGGAAGUGCACUUCCUGGUCACCACCCGUAGGACGCACGGCCUACGUGCAGGUUCAAACCCUGCCUACCCCA